rnacentral:lncRNA from 1 species
GCCCAAAGUACUUAAAAAUCAUUGCAUUUUCCUUUUUCUGAACUCCUACUAUAUAUUACAAGGGAGAACUUGUCACUUCUAAGGUGUCUGGCCUCUCUCACUGCAGUUCUGAAGAGUCCCAUAACUCAGUCAUGGCUAGGAGGGUCUUUUUGCUUCAUUCUUUUCACAACAGGGGCCAGAGAGGCACUGUUCCUGUUCCAACAAGAGACUGUGUGGGUAAGAGAUGUUGACUGUCAUCAAGAUACAGCAGUGAGGAAGGAUGGGGAUCUCCUGACGCUUUUUCUUCAACUGCCUGAUGCCUAGUCCAGACAGGGAGGAGGAAUUUGGGACCCUGAAUCCGUAAGAGCUUAGUCUUAUUUUUUUCUACUCAUGAGCCAAGAUGCAGAGAGUAUUUCUGCAGUCAGAGGAGAGAUGGUCCUUACAAAUUUUGCAAUUGGAAGGAUGAGGCAAAAUGAGGCCAAAGAUGAAAAAACCAAGGCCUGGAUAACUAAUUCACAGCCACACAAGUAUUUAGUCGCAAAAAAUGGUAAUAGCAUGCAGCUCUCUCUGUUCAGUGCCCUUUUCAGGAUGUGAAGAAAGAUAUCUGUAUAAAUAUGAGAAGUCCUUCCCAAAUAAGUAAAGUAACUGGCAUAACUGAGGAGCUCUUUGGCAAAUCUACUCUGUAUACCAACUCAAGAAAAACAGGGAAAAAACCCCAAUCUGUUCUUUCUCAUUGUGUGCCAAUAAAAAGUCACCAGAUCUUUCUGAACCUCACUUUCC